rnacentral:rRNA from 1 species
AGAGUUUGAUCCUGGCUCAGGAUGAACGCUAGCGACAGGCUUAACACAUGCAAGUCGAGGGGCAGCACAGGUAGCAAUACCGGGUGGCGACCGGCGCACGGGUGAGUAACGCGUAUGCAACUUGCCUAUCAGAGGGGGAUAACCCGGCGAAAGUCGGACUAAUACCGCAUGAAGCAGGGAUCCCGCAUGGGAAUAUUUGCUAAAGAUUCAUCGCUGAUAGAUAGGCAUGCGUUCCAUUAGGCAGUUGGCGGGGUAACGGCCCACCAAACCGACGAUGGAUAGGGGUUCUGAGAGGAAGGUCCCCCACAUUGGUACUGAGACACGGACCAAACUCCUACGGGAGGCAGCAGUGAGGAAUAUUGGUCAAUGGCCGAGAGGCUGAACCAGCCAAGUCGCGUGAGGGAUGAAGGUUCUAUGGAUCGUAAACCUCUUUUAUAAGGGAAUAAAGUGCGGGACGUGUCCCGUUUUGUAUGUACCUUAUGAAUAAGGAUCGGCUAACUCCGUGCCAGCAGCCGCGGUAAUACGGAGGAUCCGAGCGUUAUCCGGAUUUAUUGGGUUUAAAGGGUGCGUAGGCGGCCUUUUAAGUCAGCGGUGAAAGUCUGUGGCUCAACCAUAGAAUUGCCGUUGAAACUGGGGGGCUUGAGUAUGUUUGAGGCAGGCGGAAUGCGUGGUGUAGCGGUGAAAUGCAUAGAUAUCACGCAGAACCCCGAUUGCGAAGGCAGCCUGCCAAGCCAUUACUGACGCUGAUGCACGAAAGCGUGGGGAUCAAACAGGAUUAGAUACCCUGGUAGUCCACGCAGUAAACGAUGAUCACUAGCUGUUUGCGAUACACUGUAAGCGGCACAGCGAAAGCGUUAAGUGAUCCACCUGGGGAGUACGCCGGCAACGGUGAAACUCAAAGGAAUUGACGGGGGCCCGCACAAGCGGAGGAACAUGUGGUUUAAUUCGAUGAUACGCGAGGAACCUUACCCGGGUUUGAACGCAUUCGGACCGAGGUGGAAACACCUUUUCUAGCAAUAGCCGUUUGCGAGGUGCUGCAUGGUUGUCGUCAGCUCGUGCCGUGAGGUGUCGGCUUAAGUGCCA